rnacentral:rRNA from 1 species
AUACGUAGGGGGCUAGCGUUGUCCGGAAUUACUGGGUGUAAAGCGCGUGCAGGCGGUUCUGCAAGUGGGACGUGAAAGCGCCCGGCUCAACCGGGCGAGGACGUACCGAACUGCGGGACUAGAGGCAGGGAGAGGCGUGUGGAAUUCCGGGUGUAGUGGUGAAAUGCGUAGAGAUCCGGAGGAACACCAGUGGCGAAGGCGACACGCUGGGCCUGGCCUGACGCUCAGACGCGAAAGCAUGGGGAGCGAACGGGAUUAGAAACCCCGGUAGUCCAUGCCGUAAACGAUGCUGACUAGGUGUGGCGGGUAUGAACUCCUGCCGUGCCGGAGCCAACGUGGUAAGUCAGCCACCUGGGGACUACGGCCGCAAGGUUAAA